CGGCGCCCCACGGAGCCCCGAGC
rnacentral:miRNA from 1 species